rnacentral:rRNA from 1 species
GGGCCCGCACAAGCGGUGGAGUAUGUGGUUUAAUUCGAUGCAACGCGAAGAACCUUACCAGGGCUUAAAUGUAAGUUGCAUAGAUCAGAGAUGGUCUUUUCUUCGGACUACUUACAAGGUGCUGCAUGGUUGUCGUCAGCUCGUGCCGUGAGGUGUCAGGUUAAGUCCUAUAACGAGCGCAACCCCUGUCGUUAGUUACCAGCAAGUAAUGUUGGGUACUCUAGCGAGACUGCCGGUGCAAACCGUGAGGAAGGUGGGGAUGACGUCAAAUCAUCACGGCCCUUACGUCCCUGGGCUACACACGUGCUACAAUGGCCGGUACAGAGAGCAGCCACUACGCGAGUAGGAGCGAAUCUUCAAAGCCGGUCUCAGUUCGGAUCGCAGUCUGCAACUCGACUGCGUGAAGCUGGAAUCGGCUAG